rnacentral:lncRNA from 1 species
UGCUGUCAUAUCCACAGUGAAUUGAGCCCAGGGCCUCCUUUAUGCAUGACAGUUGCUCUGCCACUGAGCCACAUCCCCAGUCCUUUUUUGUGUUUUAAGACAGGGUCUUGCUACAUAGGUCAGGCUGGCCUUGAACUUGUUAUGUAGCUCAGGAUGGCCCUAAACAUGUGGCAAUCCUCCUGCCACAGUCUCCUGAGUGCUGGUAUUACAGGUGUGUGCCACCACGCCCUGCAUUCUCUAGCUUUUGAGGCACUGGCCUUGCUCUUUCACUCCUAAUUCUUUUGGUUCUGCAUACAAUGUGCCUACACACACACACACACACACACACACACACACACGCUCAUGCUCACACAAGCACACCUCCCACAGAAGCUUCAGACUCCCUGUGCCAUGUUGCAUCUGAAUGCAGUGCCACUGUCUACCUACUGCUAUCCCUACCUGGUACACCUCACCACAGCUGCUGUCCAUGGGUCUUCCUAUGGCCAUGAGGCUGCCACAGAAAUUACCAGGGUCCUGGGGCAUCAGUUUUUCUUCCCAUCUCAGUCACUCAGAGAGGGGCCAGCCCUCCCUGUGCCACCUCUAGCCCUCUCAGAGGGGAUUGUGAGCCUGGAAAACAGAAAUCUAGUUGUCCCCAAUGUCACCAUUGUUGAUUCUAAGUUAAGAUCAGAUUACCUUCUGGGGCUUCUUGGCUCAUAGAGUCCCAAGGACCAGGAUGAGGCUAGUAGGCACCAUAGCCCAGGAAAUGCCGCUGGUGACACAAAUUCCCAUCUGCUCUCCAGCCCCUGCCAACAGAGAGACAUCAGCUUUGGCAAGGGCCCUGGACACGUCCAAGGUCUCCAGUGGUCAGACUCACUGCUGAUGGUGUUUGGUUCCUACCAUCGGCUCCUACAUUAUGCAAGACAGACAGCACACCAGGCUGGCCUGCUGCCAGGCAAGCCAAUAGGGUGUGGUGUGCAUGUCCCAGGUGGCAAGGCCUUACUUCUAUCUAAAUCAGACAUUGCUAACCGCCUUACAAUCGCCUCAUAACCAGUAGGACUCCCUCUCCCCGAAGUUCAGAGCUGGAGAUGUCAGAUGCCAUCACGGGGGUUUUGCACUGCCCCCCAAGGGAGAAAAGGAUUCCACAGUCCUGAACAUUAUGGGGGCUGACAACCAGUGCUGCAGGUGCAGAGGAUGAGCGACAGCCUUCCAACGCAGGGGCCUGAAGCGACAGGAACUGGUAAACG